rnacentral:rRNA from 1 species
CCUACGGGUGGCAGCAGUGAGGAAUAUUGGUCAAUGGGCGAGAGCCUGAACCAGCCAAGUCGCGUGAGUGAUGACGUCCCUACGGGUUUUAAGCUUCUUUUGUCAGGGAGCAAUUGGGUCCACGCGUUGGCUUAGCGAGAGUACCUGAAGAAAAAGCAUCGGCUAACUCCGUGCCAGCAGCCGCGUUAAUACGGAGGAUGCGCGCGUUAUCCGGAUUUAUUGGGUUUAAAGGGUGCGUAGGUGGAAUACAAAGUCAGCGGUAAAAAUUCGGGGCUCAACCCCGUCGUGCCGUUGAGACUGAUGUUCUUGAGUGGGCGAGAAGUAUGCGGAAUGCGUGGUGUAGCGGUGAAAUGCAUAGAUAUUACGCAGAACUCCGAUUGCGAAGGCAGCAUACAGGCGCCCAACUGACGCUGAAGCACGAAAGCGUGGGGAUCGAACAGGAUUAGAUACCCUAGUAGUC